GUUGUAACAGUGUUUCGAAACAAAUAAAUGUUUGUGAUUGCAUUUGGUGAGGUACUGAAAAGCAUUUUAAGAAACACUCCAAGUCAUUAACACCUGUUUUAAUUAUAAUACAGAAAGCCUGAAACAAUCUGUUGACUUAUUUUCAACAAGAACACAAAUUAUAGUUCCAUAAUUCAUUCGCACAGUCUGCUAUAAAUCUCUAAUUCACGUUAACAGAAUUUAAGGCUACAGUACGACCCAAUUUAGCAGGGAAACUCCCAUAAGCAUGAUAUAUUGUUGCUGCUAUGUUUCUGUGGCUCAUUUCAUUAUAAAUUCUUACCAUCAUGUGAAGUUUCCAUGCGCAGUAUGAGAGAGCGAGAUAAGGCUAGGGUUUAAAAUCAUUUUAGGCCUCGCCAUUGUGAUAAAAAAUUAUAACCUCUCCUCUUAUCUUUCAAGCGCAAGAGUGGAAUCAUCUGAUGUAAAGGUCACCAGGCCCAUAGCGACGACAGUUGGGGAUUACCAGAAAGCUGCCAGAGCUUCUGUUUACAUUUGUGAGAUACCCUCAGGUUUCUGUUUACCUCAGACGCUAUGAAUCCCUGCAGUUAUGUGUCCUUUUCGGCUAAUAUUACAGCUAAGAGCAGCAGGGAAAGGAGGGGAUACAUCUCUCCUGUCCCACCUUAUGACACGCACAAGACUCAAAAGACACAGAGGAAGGAACAAAACAGAGACAAAGAGCGAGCGCUAAGAUCCAUCCUGUGAACGUAAUCAUUCAUAAUGUGUAUUUUUGAGAUGUGACUCACACAGUGUCUUGGUGUCAGUCUCUUUUGCAUCUGUUGUGGCUUCAGCAAUCAUCUCCGAGGAGGUGAGUAAUGGCCACAGCGGGGAAAGAGGAAGGCAUCAGAUAUUCAACACAUCGAGUCAUCUCUCCUCUGCUGUCUGUACCUCAGGAGGAUCCACAAACUUCAAGAAAACAUUAGCCUUGCAGAUAAAGAUGUGCCCCUAAAAAGCAACACAAGAGAGACGCUUUGAAGACGAAGGCGCCCAUCCAUCUUUAUCAGAUUGACGGAAAAGUGAACAGAGAUUGUAAAUGGCAUGUUUCAGAUCUUCUCAGUAGUGUUAUGACUGUAGUUUUUAUGUAGCCAACCACAAAACUGCCCACAUUUGCAACUUAUUUUGGUCAAGAACACACAAACGUUGGAUCUCAAUGUUUUUGUCACCCAUCACCUGUAGGAAAUUAAUUGUGAAAAAUUGUUAACGCAGGAAGCAGCCGCACAGCAGAGGGUAUUAAACUUGCCCAUCCAGUCGUAUUUGCUGUGAUGAACUUUGGGUCCGAUAACUCGCAACCCAAGCGUCCAAUUACGCAUUAGACUGCAGGGCCACUUUAGAUUUAAUUAAAGGCAAGAAAACUCAUAUUACUUGUCACCGCACCUGACGGAGCACGAUCUCGGCGAGGGUUGCUGCUCAUUAGCGGAUUUGGGCAGGAAGUUGCACCUCAAUGAUAUACUGUUAGCAUCAUCCUGACAGACC
ensembl:lncRNA